UAUCCGCUAAGUUAAACAUUUAUUUGCACCU
rnacentral:piRNA from 1 species